rnacentral:piRNA from 1 species
ACCAACUGGAACUGAUACUACCA